GAUUCAAAAGAAGAUAUCCAUUAAAAACAAUAAGUUCAUACAACCCCAAGAAUAUAAAAUAAAAUAUAAAACCCGUCUUCCUUUGUUAGGGCUGCAUCCAGCCCUGGAAAAGAGAUCAGCCUUCCAUGCAGUGGUGGAUGGCAGCAGCAGCACAGCAACAGGCUUCCAUCUUCAUAUAAAAAUCUUUUCCUUCCAUCCCACUCUCUCUAUUCCCAAAAUAUCACAAAGUAUUCUCUCCCUCUCCUUUCUCUCUUUUUUUUAUUAUUAUUUGUGGGAACUUAGCUUCUCCCCGCCCUCUGAGAAGAUGAUCAGCCGACUCCCUUCGGUGAGGAAGAAGGGAUUGCCCCCCCCCCCUCCCGGUGGGGAAGGAGGAAUGGAAGAGAAGAAUGCCUCUAGCCUUCAUCAUCGACUCCCUUUUAUAGCCUUCACAGCCUCUGUUAUCAACCUUCAGAUAUAUUCUUCCGAGUGAGAAGAUAAAGGAAAGGAACGGUCUCUGUUCCGCGGACGUGGGUGAGUCUCUUGAGAAGAUCCAAUCCGGACGUUGGGAGCUGAUCACGUUUGGCUUAAUCCUUGGAAGUUUAUCCUCGGAUGCUGGAACGCGUUGGAUGGAGUUGAUCCGGAACGCUGGGAGGAUAAUCCUGAGUUCGGUGGGUGAUGAAGAUGUGAUCCUAGAAUUCGUUGAACUUGUUUUGCUGAGGGAAGCAGCUGGCAGUGCGGAUGAACCUUGCUCCACUGGGAAGAAUCUGGAAGAGACUAACGAGGCUUCAGCGUGGAGAGAAUCUCGGACGGAAAGAGCUGGGACUUUGCUGGCUUGAGUCGUGAUAAGAUGGUACCCUGUUCUAAAGCAUAGGAUAAGGAUGCAAAGCUGGGAAGAAGCUGAAAGAAGAUUUGAUGGUUUAGGAUGCGGGAUAAUGAUGAAAUUGAUC
rnacentral:lncRNA from 1 species